UACGGGGGGGGCAAGCGUUGUUCGGAAUUACUGGGCGUAAAGCGCGCGUAGGCGGCUUUGCAAGUCGGGUGUGAAAUCCCUCGGCUUAACCGGGGAACUGCGUCUGAUACUGGAUGGCUUGAGUUUGGGAGAGGGAUGCGGAAUUCCAGGUGUAGCGGUGAAAUGCGUAGAUAUCUGGAGGAACACCGGUGGCGAAGGCGGCAUCCUGGACCAACACUGACGCUGAGUGAGCGAAAGCCAGGGGAGCAAACGGG
rnacentral:rRNA from 1 species